rnacentral:snRNA from 1 species
AUGACCCCUCGGUGCAACCUUGCAACAUACUUACCUGGACGGGGUCGACGGCUGAUCAAGAAGAGUCGUGGCCUAGGCUAGUGGUCCACAUUGCACUUGGUGGAUGCGCUGGCCUACCAUCUCCCCAAGUGGGAGAGUGGAUGUCAUAAUUUGUGGUAG